rnacentral:rRNA from 1 species
GAUGAACGCUGGCGGCGUGCCUAAUACAUGCAAGUCGAGCGAACAGACGAGGAGCUUGCUCCUCUGACGUUAGCGGCGGACGGGUGAGUCACACGUGGAUAACCUACCUAUAAGACUGGGAUAACUUCGGGACACCGGCGCUAAUCGCGGAUAAUAUAUUGAACCGCAUGGUUCAAUAGUGAAAGACGGUUUUGCUGUCACUUAUAGAUGGAUCCGCGCCGCAUGAGCUAGUUGGUAAGGUAACGGCUUAUCACGGCGACGAUGCGUAGCCGAGCUCAGAGGGGGAUCGGCCACACUGGAGCUGGGACGCGGUCCAGACGCCUACGGGAGGCAGCAGUAGGGAAUCGUACGCAAUGGGCGAGAGCCUGACGGAGCAGCGCGGCGUGAGUGAUGAAGGUCUUCGGAUCGUAAAACUCUGUUAUGAGGGAAGAACAAAUGUGUAAGUAACUGUGCACGGCUUGACGGUACCGAAUCAGAAAGCCACGGCUAACUACGUG